rnacentral:rRNA from 1 species
CGGGUGAGUAACACGUGGGUGAUCUGCCCUGCACUCUGGGAUAAGCCUGGGAAACGUGGGUCUAAUACCGGAUAGGACCAUGCUUUAGUGUGUGUGGUGGAAAGUUUUUUCGGUGUAGGAUGAGCCCGCGGCCUAUCAGCUUGUUGGUGGGGUAAUGGCCUACCAAGGCGGCGACGGGUAGCCGGACUUAGAGGUUGGUCGGCCACAUUGGGACUGAGAUACGGCCCAG